GGCGGAAGCACAGUCGCUCUGAGGUCGCCCGUGGCCGCAGGAUGAAGCCCCACUCGCCCUUCAGGAUGCAAAGCCCUCCUCUAUAAAGUGCAUGCGGGGCCAGAUGCAGUGGCUCACGUCUGACCUCCCAACACUUUGGGAGGCCGAGGCAGGGGGAUCGUUUGAGACCAGCCUGGACAACAUUGUGAGACCCUGUUCCUUGAAUUGCCCUGGGAGAUUUCCUCAGCUUGUACUGGAGGAUGAAGCCCCACCCGCCCUUCAGGAUGCCAGCCUUGGCAACAUUGUGAGACCCUGUUUCUACAAAAAGUAAACGUGUAGUGGUGCACGCCUGUAGUUCCAGCUACUUGGGAGGCUGAGAUGGGAAGAUCACUUGAGCCUGGGAGGUUGAGGCUGCAUUGAGCUGAGAUCAAGCCACGGCACUCCAGCCUGGGAGACAGAGCGAAACCCCAUCUCAAAAAAACAAAGAAAGUGGAUGCGCGCUGCUCCUGCCAUUGGAUCAUCGCAGCAUUUUUCUUUUCUCUGAUAUGCGCCUUUUUCCUCAUCGUGGGGGCUCAUGUUUUCGUACUUUUCUCUCGCUACUAGAUUGUGAGCUGCGUGAAGGAAGGUUCAUAGUCGUGUUGUAUGUACAGGCACACAAAAUUUGUGCUUGGAUAGACACAUAUCAAUCCGCUUCCUUCUCCUCUCUGAGUUUCUUUAUUUAAAAAAAAAAUUAGAGAUGGAGUCUCACUGUCUUGCCCAGGCUGGUCUCAAACUCCUAGGCUCAAGCGAUCCUCCCGCCUCUACUAAUAUGAAUUAUUAGCCUAUACUAAUAUGAAUUCCUAUACUAAUAUGAUUGAAAUUAGUUUGACUUGUAUAAUAAUUGUUCUCCCAGAUUGGGCUUCUGUUUUGAUAGUAGAACUAAAUUAUUAGGCUAUUUCAAGAAAUUAAUAUAUUACUGGUAGAAAAACUGAAGCUACAAAAUGGCCUGGUUUCUCACUUCAGUUAAAUUUGUGCUUCUGAGUGCUUGUAUUGUAGGUGAAACCGCACUGAGAAGGUAUUUGUGGCCCGUAUGCUGAUUGAUUGAUGAGACUUCUUUGCACAGGAGAGCUGCUAAAAAUUAUUACGGUGAACAGGUAUGAAGAAGACUGUUCUCUGCCCUUCUUUUUGCAAUAAAAUGUUACAAACUAUCUUGAGAUUGA
rnacentral:lncRNA from 1 species